rnacentral:rRNA from 1 species
AUAGCUCAACUAUUAGGCUUCGGGGGAUACUGCCAGACUUGGAACCGGGAGAGGUAAGAGGUACUACAGGGGUAGGAGUGAAAUCUUGUAAUCCCUGUGGGACCACCUGUGGCGAAGGCGUCUUACCAGAACGGGUUCGACGGUGAGGGACGAAAGCUGGGGGCACGAACCGGAUUAGAUACCCGGGUAGUCCCAGCCGUAAACGAUGCUCGCUAGGUGUCAGGCAUGGCGCGACCGUGUCUGGUGCCGCAGGGAAGCCGUGAAGCGAGCCACCUGGGAAGUACGGCCGCAAGGCUGAAACUUAAAGGAAUUGGCGGGGGAGCACAACAACGGGUGGAGCCCUGCGGUUUAAUUGGACUCAACGCCGGACAACUCACCGGGGGCGACAGCAAUAUGUAGGCCAAGCUGAAGACUUUGCCUGAAUCGCUGAGAAGUGGUGCAUGG